rfam:Beta vulgaris subsp. vulgaris Bvchr9.sca026.con0194.1, whole genome shotgun sequence.
GGUCCGAUGCCACGUCGUUCAUAGCGUAAAGCAAUGAUUUACGAUGCUACAUUGGUACCAAGAUUAAAUUUUGAUUAUGUUUCGCAUUUUGAUAGGAACCCGUUAAUCUUGUUUUUCAAUGAUUAAACGGAGCCGUUUUUUGCGAUUACAUUU